rnacentral:rRNA from 1 species
GGAGGGUGCAAGCGUUAAUCGGAAUUACUGGGCGUAAAGGGCGCGUAGGCGGAUUAACAAGUUGAAUGUGAAAGCCCAGGGCUUAACCCUGGAACGGCAUCCAAGACUGUUAGUCUAGAGUUUUGUUGAGGUGAGUGGAAUUUCCGGUGUAGCGGUGAAAUGCGUAGAGAUCGGAAGGAACAUCAGUGGCGAAGGCGGCUCACUGGACAAAAACUGACGCUGAGGCGCGAAGGCGUGGGUAGCAAACAGGAUUAGAGACCCUGGUAGUCCACGCAGUAAACGAUGAGAACUAGCUGUUGGAGCGUAAAGCUUUGGUGGCGCAGCAAACGCAUUAAGUUCUCCGCCUGGGGAGUACGGUCGCAAGAUUA